GCUGUGGGGAUCUGGGACUGUGGUUCCGGCAUGAAAACAGUAGCUGGUGGUGCCUGGACCUACAACACCACCUCUGCAGUCACAGUCAAGUCUGCC
rnacentral:miRNA from 1 species